AUCCUAAAACAAAAAUAAGUGACAUAUAAUAAAAUGUACCAGCCUAUCGUGUUUGAAACUGAGGAUACAGGUACGCUGAGGGAAUAUGAAGAACCAGGGUUGGCCAACUAGAUGACUAAGAUUCUGGGUUUCAGUUUAAAACACAGGAAAAAAAUAAUCUCUGAAAUACAAUGCACAAUGAAUAAUUAGCAGUGACAUCCACAGAAGAGUAUGCCUUAUAAAUGCGAAAUUCAUCAAGCCACUCAAGUCUUGGGAACUACUGGAUCAAGUGUAUGCUUGGCUAAUAUUCAGAGGCUCGAGCCAGAGAAGCCAGACACUACAGUUUAACACAGAAACCGUGGACAAAAAGCUUUCCCAGUGUUCCUUCCUCUUAUCAAAUUUGUCCACUUUCUAACAUCUAAUAAAACCAGUGGAAGACUCUCAGUGCCUGCAUGAAGAAUGUGUGACCUUGGGCAAACUGCUUCAUCUCUCAGUGGGUGAGUUUCUUCACCUAUAAAAUAAAAAGGGAUAACUUGGGUUUUAUGGACCAACAAAAAAAGGAGGGGCAAAGGCUGCCAAUUUUGCAUUUUGCCAAAAAAGACAGAAAACAAAACUAUUCUCUAAUUUCAUAAAAGAAAAGUCUUCCUUAAUGAUUCUUUACAUUGAACGAAUGGAGCACUGGGGAAAACACUACUGAGCUGGCAGCCAUGGCCAGGAGGACUGGAUUUAGAGUCAGUCAGCUAACGGUGAAUCCUGGUUCCCCCACUUCCUAGAGCUGCGCCCAUGGGCAAGUUACCUCCCUGUGCCUUAGGUUUUCAUAUGGCAAGUUAUGAUAUACCAUAGUUUUUCUUAUUAUGCCUUUUCACAGUACAUUUCUCAACUUCUAAAAUUCUAUCUAGAAAAGAAACAAAAGUCAGUCUCAGCAGACAAGUCUCAGUAGUCUCACACUGAAGACAAGUGUAACCAGGCAUGGCCCUGACUGUAGCUAUAACCGCUUAUCUCAUAGGACUGUGAUUAUGAUGAGUUAGCAAAGAAAGCAUUUAGGAAAGUGCCCUGCCACAUAGGAAGACUGUAAAUGUCAGCUUUCCUUAUUACCUUUAGUUUUCUUAUUUUGGCCUGGGUCAAUGAAAACCUUAUUACAGGCCAGCACCUGUCCAGAGACUUGAUUUAGAAACCAACAGAUUAACAACCGUUUUCUCCCCAUUAAACUCCUGUUGCAGUCUUUUUGUUUUUGAGACACGGUUUCACUCUGUCGCCCAGGCAUGAUCUCGGCUCAUUGCAACCUCUGCCUCCCCCAUUCAGGCAAUUCUCGUGCCUCAACCUCCUGAGUAGCUGGGAUUACAGGCGCAAGCCACCACGCCUGGCUAAUUUUUCUAUUUUUAGUUGAGACGGGGUUUCGCUAUGUUGGCCAGGCUGGUCUCAAACUCCUAACCUCAAGUGAUUUGCCUACCUCAGCCUCCCAAAGUGCUGGGAUUAUAGGCAUGAGCCACGAUGCCUGGCCUGGCACUCUUUUUUUAAACUUAGUUUUGACUAAGUUUUUAAAGUUUCAACUUUUAAUUAUACACGUUCUUUCGGACAGUAUUACUUUCUUUCACAAGUAUUUUAAAGCUCAGGAAAAGAGCACAUCUGGCACUGCUUUACUACUCUAGCUCUCAAAACAGCCCUGGCCUCAAAACAUACUUGUGGUCUGACAGCUGAUGUGUGCUCCCGUCUUCCUAAUCAGAAAAUGGGGGCAGCCCUGGCCUGCAGGGCCCGGUAAAGUCACCUGGCCCACACUUAGGAUUUGAUUCACAUGCGUUCCACUCCAAGGCAUACCCUCCAACAAUAUCAACAAUUGUCAACACUUAAACAGCACUUGCUGUGUGUGCCUGUCCCUAUGAAGCACUUUCUAUAUAUGUACUCAUUAAACUUCCACAACACUCUAUGAAGUAUGACCAUUAUUAUGACUAUAUGCAAAAGAGGGAACUAAGCACUGGGAAGUUAAGGAACUUGGUCAAGGUUGCACAGCCCGUAAGUGGCAGAGCUUGGGUUCAACCCAAGCAUUCAAUGAGUAGAUUCUAGAAUUCAACCCAGGCAGCUGAAUUCUAGAAUCUACGCAUUCCAUCUCUUAAGGCCAGAGCUGAGAAAUCUGUGGAGAUAGAUCAGUGUGGCAUUCUCCUUUGCUAAAGGGUUAGGCAAGUAGGCAGCAUACCCUACCUUCACUGAGUAUCCAAGCGCGAAGAUAACCUGGGGCUUUAAUAUAACACAGCAGCAACUGUCACUCCCCAAAGGACACACUGUAAUUACAUCCUGUUAGUAAACUGUGAAGCAGGUCUUUGAGAAGUAUCCCAGAAGAAAGCACUGUCAACACAGAAGAUGCUGACUCCAUGUGCCAAAGACCUUCCAGUGGGACGCGGCAUGGAGGCCGGGCGUGGUGGCUCACGCCUGUAAUCCCAGCACGUUGGGAGACCGAGGUGGGUGGAUCACGAGGUCAAGAGAUCAAGACCAUCCUGGUCAACAAGGUAAAACCCCGUCUCUACUAAAAAUACAAAAAUUUAGCUGGGCACGGUGGUGUGUGCCUGUAGUUCCAGCUACUCGGGAGGCUGAGGCAGGAGAAUUGCUUGAACCCAGGAAGCGGAGGUUGCGGUGAGCCGAGAUCGCGCAAUUGCACUCCAGCCUGGGUAACAAAAGAAACUCCGUCUCAAAAAAAAAAAAAAUUUUUUUUUUUGAGACAGUGUCUUACUCUGUUGCCCAAGCUGCAGUGCAGCAGCACAAUCACCACUCAUUACAGCCUCAAAGCCUAGGCUUAAGUAAUCCUCCCACCUCUGCUUCCCAAGCAGCUGGUACUACAGCUGUAUGCCACUACACCUGGCUAUUUUUGAAAAUUUUUGUGUAAAGGUGGGGUCCCAUUAUGUUGCCCAGGCUGGUCUUGAACUCCUGGGCUCAAGCAAUCCUCUGUCCUCAGCCUCCCAAAGUGCUGGGAAUACAGGUGCACCCACUAUGAGCAGCCCCCAAUUUUCUGUAUAAUGUUAACAUCAGCCAUUGGCAGGAUAGUCUACUCUUCUUCCAUAGCUAACUCCUUGUUUAAUACUGCAAUACUGACAAACAUACUGGGAGUUUGUCUCCAGAUUCACAAUAACCUGAGCACAGCUCCUGGCUGUGGUGGAUUAAUGACAGUCACCAAUUCUUUGCCACUCUUCCCUAUUUCCGUUCCCUUGAAUCUAAGAUAGUCCCAUGAUUGGCUUAAUGAACAGAACAUGAAGAAGUAAAAGGCCAGGUCUCAGGGGAUCUGCAGUUUCUGCUUUUCAGCUCCUGCAAUGCUCCCUCUUGUAUGUCAACUGUCACAUACAAUUCUGACUACCAAAGAACAGGCAAGCCCAAGCUAGCCACUGAAAAAGAGGGCACAUACAGGAGGAACAAGACACCAGACACAUGAACACAGACAUCUUAGACCUUCCACCCUAGCUCAGCCACUAAACAAACAAAAUUGACCAAAGCAAAACUGAAAGCAAAUAAAACGAUGGCUGUUGUCAAUCAGGGGCUGACAAACUUCUGUGAAAUGCCAGACAGUAACUACCGUUGGCUUCACGGGCCAACUGCUCAACUCUGCCAUUGCAGUGUGAAGGUAGCCACAGACAAUCCACGGAAGAGAGAAUCUGGCUGUGAUCCAAUAAAAGUUCAUUUUCAAAAACAGGCAAUGGACUAAAUCUGAACUGUAGAUAUGUAUGUAUUUUUUGAGACAGAGUUUCACUCUUAUUGCCCAGGCUAGAGUGCAAUGGCACCAUCUUGGCUCACAGCAAACUCUGCCUCCCAGGUUCAAGUGAUUCUUUUGCCUCACACUCCUGAGUAGCUGGGAUUACAGGCACGUGCCACCAUGCCCAGCUAAUUUUUGUUAUUUUUAGUAGAGAUGGGAUUUCACCAUAUUGGUCAGGCUGGUUUCAAACUCCUGAUCUCAAGUGAUCCACCCUCCUUGGCCUCUCAAAGUGCUGGGGUUACAAGGGUGAACCACCACGCCCCACCCAACUCAGACAUAAGUUUUCUAAGUUUUAAAUUGCUAAGUUUUACGGUAGUUUGUUUGGCAUUAAUACAUACCCAAAACACUGGCUGAACCCAGUUAUGAUAAGUUUUUUAACCUAAGUCUCAACUUUCUCACCUGUAAAAAUGGGGGAAAUAAUAGUAUCUAUACUUCGUAGGCCUACUGUAAAUAUUCAGUAUAAUGGCUGGCACAUAAAUACUUUGUCUUUGUUGCUAUUAAUUUCUAAAACAGAAACUGGUAGGAAGAGAAGUUAGUAAAAGGUAUUCUGAUAAUGUUUCCAGGCCAGACCCGUAACACUGCUAGCCACAAUUCAGCCACCACUCCCAAUAUACACAAAUCCCUACUCACCUAAACUCAGGACCCCAUCAUUUUUAGAAAAACCAGUAAUCUGCAAAAAGUGGUUCUGCUUUAAUAAAAGACACAGUAUCUAAAAAUCUUAUUAGUCUAAAUAAAGUUCUCCCCAAGCUCUCAGGACUAACAAUUUUUUUUAAGUUUAAUUAAGAAACACUGGCAGGGCGUGGUGGCUCACACCUGUAAUCCCAGCACUUUGUGAGGCUGAGGCAGGUGGAUCACCUGAGGUCAAGAGUUCAAGACCAGCCUGACCAACCUGGUGAAACCUCUUCUCUACUAAAAAUACAAAAUUAGCCAGGCAUAGCAGUGCAUGCCUGUAAUCCCAGCUACUUGGGAGGCUGAGGCAGGAGAAUCGCUUGAACCUGGGAGGUGAAGGUUGCAGUGAGCCAAGACUGUACCAUCAUACUCCAGCCUGGGCAACAAGAGUGAAACUCUAUCUUUAUUUUGGCAUCAAAAUUGAUUUAUGAUGAGUUAUUUUAUACAUAUGAGAACAUGUAUAAGUGUGUAAUAUAAAAAUGCCUAAUAAAAGGGAUGCCCAUAGGACCACAGUAUAGCUGAAGAGAGCAUUGGCCAGGCGUGGUGGCUCACACCUGUAAUCCCAGCACUUUGGGAGGCUGAGGCAGGUGGGUCACUGGAGGUAAUGAGUUCAAGACCAGCUUGGCCAACAUGGCGAAACCUGUCUCUACUAAGAAGAAAAAAUAAAAAAUUAGCCAGGCUUGGUGGCAAGCGCCUGUAAUCCCAGCUCUCAGGAGGCUGAGGCAGAAGAAUCGUUUGAACCUUGCAGGUAGAGGUUGCACCGAGCAGAGAUCACACCAUUGCACUCCAGUCUGGGCAACAAGAGCAAAACUGUCUCAAAAAAGAAGAGAGAGAGACAGCAUUAACAAGACUCUGGAAGCACUCUGCGUACCGCUGACUCCAAUGUUUUCUGAACUGUGUGUUUAUAUUACUAUUCAUUAUAAUUCUAUUGCACAGGAAUAUAUUGCUAAACAAUGUAGAGUUUAGUUUUGCAUGUUCUGGAUCUUUUAAUAAUUGCUUAUGCACCAGCAAAAGUUUUGCUUUUGUAUUCCAUUCCAUAAAUAUACUGCAAUUUAUCUAUCAAUUCUAAUGCAGUAAGUUGUUUGCUGUAUUUUGCUAGCAUGAAAGACAAUGUUAAGAGUACUUGUAUACAUGAUUCACAGCCAUGUUCAAGAAUUCCUCUAGUAAAUAUACUCACCAGCAACUGCUAGGUUUCAAAGUCUGAAUGUUUUUCAACUUUGCCAGAGAAUAGUCAAAAUUAUUCUCAAAGUGCUUAUAUCUCUUUAUAUCUGCAGUGGUUAAGAAUCUCCACUGACAACAUCUUCAUUAAAUACGGACUUGAGACUAAAAUACUUGCCGAAUUAGAAGGUGUAAAAGGGUGUCUCAUUGUCGCUGUAAAUUUAAAUUUCUGUGACUAAGAACAGACUCCCCUCAAAUGUUUAUUUUACUGUUCCGUCUUCUGUAAAAAUGUUGGUGUCAUCUGCCCCUUUUUCUGAGUUGUCUUUUUAUGGAUACUCCUGUAUUUUCUCUAAAAAUUGUCCAAUUUUCCCUGUGAUAUUUAAGCCUUCAAUUCAGAACUUCUUUUUAGUGUGUUCAAGUCAGAGGCAGUCUCAUUUUUCUAUGUUUUCCCUAUAGAACCACCUUUCCUACUGACCAGCAACAAUAAUUCUGUCAUGCCUUCAUCAAGUUUCCAUAAAUGCAGGGUCUCUUUUCUGGUCUAUCUUUUGGUGCCAGUGUCCCUAAGAUUAGAAUUAAAUGUCUAUUAGAUCAGGAGUCCCCAAGCCCCUGGCCACAUACUGGUAUCAGUUUGUGGCCUGUUAGGAACUGGGCCGCACAGCAGGAGGUGAGUGGCAGGGUAAGGGGGAUGAGUGAGCAUUACCAGCUGAGCUUUGCCUCCUGUCAGAUUCUUUUAAGAGCGCAAACCUUAUUGUGAAUUGCACAUUUGAGGGAUCUAGGUUGUGAGCUCCUUUUGGGAAUCUAACUAAUCAUGCCUGAUCCAAGAUAGAACAGUUUCAUCCCAAAACCAUCCCCAACCCCCAUCCACGGAAAAAUUGUCUUUCCAUGACACCAGUCCCUGGUACCAAAAAGGUUGGGGACUGCUGUGUUAGACUUGCCCAUAAAGCUAUAUAGAACUGAGGGUUUUUUGUUAGUUUAAUAAAAAAAUGUUAAACUAGUGUUUGAAUUUGAUAGUUACAGGAUUAUUUUAGUUUUCUUCUUCAAAAUCCAGCUUCAGUAGCUUUGCAUUUUUCUAGAUAUUUAUGUGUUGCAAUAUAGGAGAGGGAUGGUAUCUCCUUUUCAUCUAUUUUGGAAGGGGGUUGGAUUCAUUUUUAAAAUUUGUUUUUAAUCGACACAUAGUAAUUGUACAUAUUUAUGGGAACAGUGUGAUGUUUCAAAACAUAUAUGUAUUGUGUAAAAAUCAAAGUAGGGUAUUCAGCAUAUCCAUCACCUUAUACAUUUAUCAUUUGUUCGUGGCAAGAAGACUAAAUAUCCUCUCUUCUAGCUAUUUUGAAAUGUGUCACAUUGUUAACCACAGUCACCCUACUGUGCAACGGAACAGGUGAACUUACACCUCCAAUCUAAUUGUAACUCUGUACCCACUGACUAGCCUCUCCCUAUCCCCUGCUCCCCAUUAGCCUAUUUUAAAUUUAUUCAAAUGAAAUUGUUCAUUAUAUUCUUAGUAACAUUUUUAACUGUGGAGCUUCUGGUAGGAGUAUAAAAUUAUAUUAUACAACCACCUUGGGAAUGCAGUUUGCAAAGUUUAGCAGUUUCUUGUAAAAUUAAACAUAUGCCUACCCUAUAACUCAGCAACUUCACUCGUUUUUAUAUACCCAAAAGAAAUGAAAACAUAUUUUCGCAAAAAAUGUGUAUAGUAUGUUCACUGGCUGGGCACGGUGGCUCACGCCUGUAAUCCCAGUACGUUGGGAGGUCAAGGAGGGUGGAUCACGAGGUCAGGAGAUCAAUACCAGCCUGACCAACAUGGUGAAACCCCGUCUCUACUAAAAUACAAAAAAUUAGCCAGGGUGAUGGCAUGCACCUAUAGUCCCAGCUACUCGGAAGGCUGGGGCACAGGAAUUGCUUGAAUCCAGGAGGCGGAGGCUGCAGUGAGCUGAGAUCAUGCUACUACACUCCAGCCUGGCAACAGAGCAAGACCAUGACUCAAAAAAAAAAAAGUUCACAGCAGCUUUAUUCAAAUAGCCAAAACCUGAAAACAACUCAGCUGUCCCUCAGUAAGAGACUGGAUCAACUGUGGUAUAAUCACACAAUGGAAUGAGCUCAGCACUAAAAAUGACACCAAACAACAGGGAUGGACUGCAAAAAGACUACACUGAGUGAAAGAAGCCUUACACAAAGGAGUACACAUUAUGUGAUUCCAUCUAUAAGAAGUCCCAGAACAGGCAAAACUAAUCGACGGCAGAAAAAGUGUCCUUGAAGCUACUGCCUCUGGAGACAUGGUGUGGGGACUGACAUGAAAGAGGCAUGGGGGAACUUUCUGGAGUAAAGCCUUUACAUGUUGACAGUGGCUUGAGUUACACAGGUGUUUGCAUUUCCCAAAACCCAGCGACUGUACACUCAAGAGCAGGGCAUUUUAUUGUACUGUAUAUACAUUUUACAUUCAAAGAAAAAACUGUCAACAAUGAACUCCAGUUAACCAUGUGCAUACUGAUGAAUUGCAGAGGAAGUACUGAUGUCUACAUUAUUUUAAAAUGCCUUAAAAACUGGACCAAUGGAUUAUUUAAUACUUGCUUUACUACCUAUCUAAUAAAGUAAAUAAUAAAAUGUUAACUACAAAAUCUAGGGAGUAUAUGUAUUCUACAAAUAUUUUUCACCUUAAUUCUAUGUUGAAAAUUUUAUGUACUUUAAUAAAUUAAGAAUAGGGUCUUAUUUCUCUUAUGAAAUUCCUGAAUGAGUGACAAAGUAUAAAGCAUCAUUUUCUACCUGAAUCUAUGGCUUCACGUCCUGAUUUCUUCCUUUUGUCAUAAGACUUCUUCCCUUUUUUCUGAGUUUUCUGCAAACAAACAAACAAAAAACAAAAAAACCCCACAGCAUUUAAUAAGAAAAGUUUUCUUUGUCUUAAAUCAUAAGGAUUAACACUAUUAGCAAACUGUCAUUCAGUAUUUUAGCCGAGCACAGUGGCUCAUGCCUGUAAUCCCAGUAUUUCAGGAGCCUGAGGUGGACAGACCACUUGAGGUCUGGAGUUCCAGACCAGCCUGGCCAACGUGGUAAAACCCCGUCUCUACUAAAAAUAAUACAAAAAUUGUAUUAUUUUCGUAAUAAUAAUAAUGAUUACAUGGGCAUGGUGAUGCGUGCCUGUAAUCCCAGCUAGUGGGGGUUAGCAGAGACAGGAGAAUCACUUGAACUCAGGGGAGUCAGAGGUUGCAGUGAGCUGACACUGUACCACUGCACUCCAGCCUGGGCACAGAGCAAGACUCCAUCUCCAGAAGAAAAAAAAAAUAAACUACAAUUCUCAUUUAGUUCUAAAAUAGAUUCAUUAUAUAAAUUAUCUACAUUAAUAUAUGGAAGCAUUGCAAACAAACUGUCACAAAAUACGAAAAAAUAAAACUGAUAAUAGAUGUUGCCUUGAUAGAAAAACUGAACUUUAAUUACUUAAGACAACAUGUGGAAUCAGCUCAAAUUUCUGCUCUCAGCUGUGGUAAAGUAACAGCUUCCAAACUAGCUCUCUUGCCAUAAACAACCAUAAAAAAUGGGGGAAUAGGGGUGGCAAUUCAAUUCAGGUACUGGACAAUAGGCAACACACAAGACUGAGUUCCUAGAGAAAGGGAAGGUGAACCCCAUGACUGCCAUCCCCAAUCCACACAGUUUCUAGAUGGGGCAUAGUGAGCUAAAGUCUAAGCAGGGCAUGACAAUCCUACCCAGCUGAGAGGCACUUGGAAUAAGCUGCUCAGACGAGAGCACAGGCACCUGUGGCGCAGGGUGGCGCGGGGUGGCGGGGGGGCUCCUAAAAGUACUUGUCGGAGUACUGCCCAUGUGCUGCGUGAGACCACACAAAGCCUACCAGAAAGCACUAUCGUGGGGUUAACAAUAUAAUCGAUAACAAAGGACAAACAGCACUGGGGUCAUCAUGGGACAAAGUAAAUAUACCUGUGAAAGAGACAACUCACGGCUCAUCAGAAACCAUGAAGACCAGAAGACAACAGAAUGGCAUAAAGAGCUGGGGAAUAAAUCUGUCAACUCAGAAUUCCAUAGCCAGUGAAAUAUCCUUUAAAAACAGAGUUAAAAUAAAAACACUUCCAGAUAAACAAAAUCAGAGAAUUUGUCACCAGCAGACCUGCCAUGAAAGAAAUGCUAGAAGAUAUACUGUAAGCCGACGGGAAAAGAUACCAAUCAGUGAAAUGGAAAAAGGAACAGAUAAAAGACUACAGAACUGCUGCUGCUCAUACUUUUCUUAAAACAAAAACAAAAACAAAAAACAACUCUUUCAGCCAGGUGCGGUGGCUCAUGCCUGUAAUCUUGGUACUUUGGGAGGCCAAGGCGGGCAAAUCACAACAGAUGGAGACCAUCCUGGUCAACAUGGUGAAAUUCCAUCUCUACUAAAAAUACAAAAAUAACUGGGCAUGGUUGUGCACGCCUAUAGUCCCAGCUACUCAGGAGGCUAAGGCAGGAGAAUUGCUUGAACCUGGGAGGCAGAGGUUGCAGUAAGCCGAGAUCACGCCACUGCACUCCAGCCUGGUGACAGAGCAAGAUUCUGUCUCAAAAAAAAAAAAAAAUUCUUUCAAGCAGAAAUGACUAUAUAAAGUUAGAUUAAUAACACAGAAGUAAAACAUGACAAAACAGCACAGAGGAUGGGGAUGGAUACAUGGAAUACAUAAUAUUGUUACAUAAUUACAUUUAUGUAGUGGGAGGAAGGUAGUUGUCAAGUAGAAUGUAUGAGGUGAUAACACACUGAUUUUAAAUAGACUUUGCUAAUUUAAGGAAUUUUUUUAACCUAGGAGCAACCACUGGAAAAAAUUUAAAAAGGUAUAGCUAAGAAGCCCACAGAGAAAAUAAAAUGAAAUACAAAAAUAAUAUUCAACUACUCCAAAAUGAGCAAGAGAUAAAACAGAAUCAAAUGGAAAACAGUAUGGUACAUGUGAAAGUCGCCAAGUUUAAAAUUACAUCAAAAGUCAAUGGACUUUCAGCACAAGUUAAAACACCUCCUCUAUGUAACUGAUAAAUCAAACAGACCAUCCCCCCUCAUCAAAAACAGAAAAACAGUAAGGAGACAAAAUCUCUGAACUAUACUAUCAAUCAGCUUGGCCUCAAUUGACAUUUACAGAACACACAGCUGCAAAUUCCAGUGCACAUGGGAUGUUCACCAAGACAGAUCAGCAAUAGAAAUAAUGUUUUGCUUCCAUUUGUGUAAAGACAGGAAAUAAAAAUAAUAUGUUUACAUUUGUUUACAUAUACAAAAGGAAACUUGAAGGAUAUAUAAGAAACUAUAAGGUUACCUGUGUGUAUGUUUAGCAGGUGGAAAGGUGAAGAAGAUAGGGUAGCAGGGACACCUGAUUAUAUUUUGAAAAAGUUUCAAAACAUUAAGCUCAAAUGAAUUAACAAUCACAUAUUAAAAACUUGACCAAAAGACAUUACAUGUCAAGAAUUUUAGAACCAAUAAGACGACCCAGAAUUCUUUUUUUUUGAGAUGGAGUCUCACUCUGUUGCUGAGUAUAUUGGCAUGCUGGUCUUGGCUCACUGCAACCUCCACCUCCUGGUUCAAGUGAUUCUCCUGCCUUACCCUCCCAAGUAAUGAACUACAGGCACCCGCCGCCAUACUGGCUAAUUUUUGUAUUUUCAACACAUUGGCCAGGCUGGUCUCGAUUUUCUGACCUUGUGAUCUGCCUGCUUUAGCCUCCCAAAGUGCUGGGAUUACAGGCAUGAGCCACUGCACCCUGCUAUUUUUUUUAAGACAGAGUCUCGCUCUGUCAUCCAGGAUGGAGGGCAGUGGUGUGAUCUGGGCUCACUGCAACCUCCAACUCCCAGGUUGAAGCGAUUCUCCUGCCUCAGCCUCCUGAGUAGCUGCAACUACUGGCACCACCAUGCCUGGCUAAUUUCUAUAUUUUUAGUAGAAACGGGGUUUCACCAUGUUGUGCAGACUGGUCUGGAACUCCUGACCUUAAGUGAUCCAACUAAUACCUUGGCCUCCCAAAGUGCUGGGAUAACAAGCAUGAGCCACUGGGCCCAGCCAAGAUCCAGAAUUCUUACCAGCAAUUUUUUUCUAAGGAAAUGAUCCAAGGAAUACACAAAUAUUUAGCUACAACAAAAUCCAUCAAAGCACUUAUAAUUUUUAAAAUAGCAAUUCAGAGAUUACUAAACUAUGCCAUAUCCAUGAAUGGAAUGUUAUACAUUCAUUAAAACAGUAUUGUUGAAUACUUAAUGACAAGUAUAUGAUUUCACUUAGGGUAAUAAAAGCUCACUGAAAGGACUGAACAGCAUAGACCAAAAAACAUGGUGGUUAUUUUGGGUUAUGGUAUUACAGGCAAUUUUAUCUUCUUUUCUAUACCUUCUAGAUUUUUUUUUUUUUUUUUUUUUUUUUUGGAGACAGAGUCUUGCUCUGUCGCCCAGGCUGGAGUGCAAUGGCGCAAUCUCGGCUCACUGAAACCUCUGCCUCCCGAGCUCAAGCGAUUCUCCUGCCUCAGCCUCCCAAGUAGCUGGGAUUACAGGCACAUACAACUGCACCCAACUGAUUUUAGUAUUUUUAGUAGAGACAGGGUUUCACCAUGUUGCCCAGGCUGGUCUUGAACUCCUGACCUCAGGUGAUCUACCCACCUCGGCCUCCCAAAGGUGCUGGGAUUACAGGCAUGAGCCACCAUAACCAGCCAUACCUUUUUGAUUUUCCAAAACAUUUUUAUUACAUUAAAUACAAAAUUUAUCUUUGAAAAGAUCUGAAGGAAAGAGAAAAUGUUUCAUUUCUUCCCUAAAAUUUUUCAAUAAACUUUUUUUGCUCUCCAAGGGGAUGGCAGACACUCUUAGACACUCUUACCGAC